rnacentral:rRNA from 16 species
UGGCGGCCGUAGCGCGGUGGUCCCACCUGACCCCAUGCCGAACUCAGAAGUGAAACGCCGUAGCGCCGAUGGUAGUGUGGGGUCUCCCCAUGCGAGAGUAGGGAACUGCCAG